CCUACGGGGGGCUGCAGUAGGGAAUCUUCGGCAAUGGACGGAAGUCUGACCGAGCAACGCCGCGUGAGUGAAGAAGGUUUUCGGAUCGUAAAGCUCUGUUGUAAGAGAAGAACGAGUGUGAGAGUGGAAAGUUCACACUGUGACGGUAUCUUACCAGAAAGGGACGGCUAACUACGUGCCAGCAGCCGCGGUAAUACGUAGGUCCCGAGCGUUGUCCGGAUUUAUUGGGCGUAAAGCGAGCGCAGGCGGUUAGAUAAGUCUGAAGUUAAAGGCUGUGGCUUAACCAUAGUAGGCUUUGGAAACUGUUUAACUUGAGUGCAAGAGGGGAGAGUGGAAUUCCAUGUGUAGCGGUGAAAUGCGUAGAUAUAUGGAGGAACACCGGUGGCGAAAGCGGCUCUCUGGCUUGUAACUGACGCUGAGGCUCGAAAGCGUGGGGAGCAAACAGGAUUAGAUACCCCAGUAGUC
rnacentral:rRNA from 1 species